AGUGAACGCUGGCGGUAGGCCUAACACAUGCAAGUCGAACGGCAGCACAGUAAGAGCUUGCUCUUACGGGUGGCGAGUGGCGGACGGGUGAGGAAUACAUCGGAAUCUACUUUUUCGUGGGGGAUAACGUAGGGAAACUUACGCUAAUACCGCAUACGACCUACGGGUGAAAGCAGGGGAUCUUCGGACCUUGCGCGAUUGAAUGAGCCGAUGUCGGAUUAGCUAGUUGGCGGGGUAAAGGCCCACCAAGGCGACGAUCCGUAGCUGGUCUGAGAGGAUGAUCAGCCACACGGGAACUGAGACACGGUCCAGACUCCUACGGGAGGCAGCAGUGGGGAAUAUUGGACAAUGGGCGAAAGCCUGACCCAGCCAUCCCGCGUGGGUGAAGAAGGCCUUCGGGUUGUAAAGCUCUUUUGUUGGGAAAGAAAAGCAGCAGGUUAAUACCCCGCUGUUCUGACGUUACCAAAAGAAUAAGCCCCGGCUAACUUCGUG
rnacentral:rRNA from 1 species